CAAAAGACAGAGUAAAACCCUAGGUCACCAGGAUUGCAGAGGAAGCCAAGAUGUUUGUUUACAUUGUAAACAAAAGCCUGUGAGCCAUCCACAAAGUUUCCAAGGUGUGAGGCUACACCCAAGGUCCAGAAAGGCUGUGCCACAUGACUGGCUGAGGAACUGAAGCCUUUGGUGCUCUCUCUCUGGGGGUACAAAGCAGUCUUCUCACACUGGUACCCCAUAGGCACGCCAACAGACUAACGGAUGCAUAAAUGCAGAGACAAACUACAGAGACAUUCAUUCCAUCAUGGUCGCAGCUGGAGCCCCAGAGCCAACAAUGCCUGGCUCAGUAAACAGCUGUUCAGUGAACAAACCUGAGUGAACAAGUAGCCCAGGUACCCAGGACCCCAAGGAAUGAUGGCUACUAUUCUCACAAAAGAAAAACUAAUCAUGGGAGGGUUUCUUGAGAAUUUCUUAAUUGGAAGUAAAAGUACGGAUCAAUGUCUCAGAAACCCCCUGAGGGGCUGGGGACAAAGCCCAGUGGAGGAGUGCCAGCCUAGGUGGGGCAAGGGCCUGGGUUUGAUCCCACCUGGCACAAAGUGAAAAAAAAAAUAGAAAACUCCAGGGUUUGGGGGUGGUAACAUUUCACUUGGGUGGGGUUGCCAUCCUCCUUUUAGCUAUGGACAUAGAGCUUAAACGGAGCCAGCUUCCCAGGUACACAGCCUAUGCAUCCAUCCCAUGGGGCCCCUGGCAUGCUGGCCUCAUACUCUGUUCCCACCAGCCUAACACUCUUACAUUUUAAACAACAACAACAAACAAACAAACAAACAAAAAACCCACCUCACAAAUUAUGUACACAUUCCUGAGUUUUACAAAUUACUUUUAUUUCUGAAGGGGCCAAUUACAAGCAACUCACGGUUAAAAAUGCACCUUUCAUAGCCAGGGCUAUGCUUUCACCUCCCUGAACUUAAGUAAGGCCUAAUAAAGGGGUCGCCUUUUCUUCCUA